rnacentral:rRNA from 1 species
GAUGAACGCUGGCGGCGUGCCUAAUACAUGCAAGUCGAGCGAACGGACGAGAAGCUUGCUUUUCUGAUGUUAGCGGCGGACGGGUGAGUAACACGUGGAUAACCUACCUAUAAGACUGGGAUAACUUCGGGAAACCGGAGCUAAUACCGGAUAAUAUUUUGAACCGCAUGGUUCAAACGUGAAAGACGGUCUUGCUGUCACUUAUAGACAGAUCCGCGCUGCAUUAGCUAGUUGGUAAGGUACCGUCUUACCAAGGCAACGAUGCAUAUCCGGCCUGAGAGAGUGAUCGGCCACACUGGAACUGAGACACGGUCCAGGCUCCUACGGGAGGCAGCAGUAGGGAAUCUUCCGCAAUGGGCGAAAGCCUGACGGAGCAACACCGCGUGAGUGAUGAAGGUCUUCGGAUCGUAAAGCUCUGUUAUUAGGGAAGAACAUAUGUGUAAGUAAAUGUGCACAUCUUGACGGUACCUAAUCAGAAAGCCACGGCUAACUACGUG